GACAUAGGUGGCAAGCGUUAUUCGGAAUUACUAGGCGUAAAGCGAGUGUAGGCGGACGCUUAAGUCUGACGUUAAAUCUCCCGGCUUAACUGGGAGCUGUCGUCGGAUACUGAGCGCCUCGAGUGAGGUAGGGGGCAGGGGAAUUCCAGGUGUAGCAGUGAAAUGCGUAGAGAUGUGGAAGAACACCGAUGGCGAAGGCAGCCCCCUGGGAUGUGACUGACGCUCAUGUACGAAAGCGUGGGGAGCAAACAGG
rnacentral:rRNA from 1 species